GACGAACCGUGCGAACGUUGUUCGGAAUCAUUGGGCUUAAAGGGCGCGUAGGCGGGUGGACAAGUCAGGGGUGAAAGCCCACGGCUCAACCGUGGAAGUGCCUUUGAUACUGUCCGUCUGGAGGAGGUAGGGGCGUGCGGAACUUCCGGUGGAGCGGUGAAAUGACGUAGAUAUCGGAAGGAACGACCGGUGGCGAAAGCGG
rnacentral:rRNA from 1 species